GGGAAUUUUCCGCAAUGGGCGAAAGCCUGAUGGAGCAACGCCGCGUGAGUGAAGAAGGUCUUGGGAUUGUAAAGCUCUGUCCUUAGGUAAGAACCGUGGGUAUAACAAAUGAUACCCACCUGACGGUACCUUUGGAGGAAGCACUGGCUAACUACGUGCCAGCAGCCGCGGUAAUACGUAGAGUGCAAGCGUUGUCCGGAAUUAUUGGGCGUAAAGGGUACGCAGGCGGAUAACCAAGUCAAGCGUGAAAGGUGUCGGCUUAACCGACAGACUGCGUUUGAAACUGAUUAUCUUGAGUGUAACAGAGGAGAGUGGAAUUCCUAGUGUAGUGGUGAAAUACGUAGAUAUUAGGAAGAACACCAGUGGCGAAGGCGACUCUCUGGGUUAACACUGACGCUGAGGUACGAAAGCUGGGGGAGCGAAAGGGAUUAGAUACCCCUGUAGUC
rnacentral:rRNA from 1 species